UUUCCGUAGGUGAACCUGCGGAAGGAUCAUUAUUGAAAUAGACAAUACGGCCCGCUAUUUCGUCAAAUGUGUGCAAUACCACCAACAGUGUAUACCCAACCGUUCGUUUCUUUUGCAAGCGUCCUCCGGGCGGUGUCUUCUGCUAACAGCGCCUGCCAGAUGACCCAAACUCUGUGUUUAGUGAUGUCUGAGUAAUAUUGAAUUUUUAAAAACUUUCAACAACGGAUCUUUUGGUUAUGGGAUCGAUUACGAACGCAGCCGAUGAAAAGAGCACACGUC
rnacentral:misc_RNA from 1 species